GGUGAAGUUGCUUAGUGGUUAGCAUGUUCACCUCCAGGGUCGGGGGUUCGAGUCCCACCGUGACCC